AGUGAACGCUGGCGGCAGGCCUAACACAUGCAAGUCGAACGGCAGCACAGUAAGAGUUUGCUCUUACGGGUGGCGAGUGGCGGACGGGUGAGGAAUAUAUCGGAAUCUACACUUUCGUGGGGGAUAACGUAGGGAAACUUACGCUAAUACAGCAUACGCCCUACGGGUGAAAGCAGGGGAUAUUUGGACCUUGCGCGAUUGAAUGAGCCGAUGUCGGAUUAGCUAGUUGGCGGGGUAAAGGCCCACCAAGGGGACGAUCCGUAGCAGGUGUGAGAGGAUGGUCAGCGACACUGGAACGGAAACACGGACCAUACUCCUAAGGGAGGCAGCAGUGUGCAACAUUGGACAAUGGGCGCAAGCCUGAUCCAACCAUACCGCGUGAGUUAAGAAGGCGUUCGGGUUGUAAUGCCCUUUUGUUGGUAAAAAAAAGCAUCGGCUUGAGACCCCGCUGUUCUGACGGUACCCAAAGAAGAAGCACCGGCUAACUUCGUG
rnacentral:rRNA from 1 species